AAAGUACUCCCUCCGUCCCAAAAUUCUUGUCUUAGAUUUGUCUAGAUCCGGAUGUAUCAAGUCACAUUUUAUUAUUAGAUACAUCCGUAUCUAGACAAAUCUAAGACAAGAAAUUUGGGACAAAGGGAGUAGUUG
rnacentral:pre_miRNA from 1 species